AGAGGCUGGAAUAACCUAAUAAGACGAGAAGACCCUAUGGAGCUUUAAUCUAACUUAUUAGCUUAUAUCACAACUAACCUACUGGUUUAAAAACAUAAAAGCAUAAUAAGAAGAUUUCGGUUGGGGUGACCUCGGAGCAUAAAAAAUCCUCCGAAUGAUUAUAGCUAAGGCACACAAGCCAAAGCACCUAUAAUCUUAUUGACCCAAACAUAUUUGAUCAACGGACCAAGUUACCCUAGGGAUAACAGCGCAAUCCUAUUAGAGAGUCCAUAUCGACAAUUAGGGUUUACGACCUCGAUGUUGGAUCAGGACAUCCCAAUGGUGCAGAAGCUAUUAAAGGUUCGUUUGUUCAACGAUUAAAGUCCUACGUGAUCUGAGUUCAGACCGGAGUAAUCCAGGUCGGUUUCUAUCUAUUUACGAUUUCUCCCAGUACGAAAGGAUAAGAGAAAUGGAGCCUCCUUUACACAAGCGCUUCAAAAAUAAUUAAUGAAUACAUCUCAAUGUAAUAUAUCCGUACUAUUAACCCCAAGAUAAGGGUUU
rnacentral:rRNA from 1 species